AUUGAACGCUGGCGGCAGGCCUAACACAUGCAAGUCGAACGAGUGGCGGACGGGUGAGUAAUGUCUGGGAAACUGCCUGAUGGAGGGGGAUAACUACUGUAAACGGUAGCUAAUACCGCAUACCAUCAGAUGUGCCCAGAUGGGAUUAGCUAGUUGGUGGGGCAACGGCUCACAAAGGCGACGAUCCCUACCGGGUCUGAGAGGAUGACCAGCAACACUGGAACAUAGACAAGGUCCAGAUUCCUACGGAAGGCAGCAGUGGGGAAUAUUGCACAAUGGGCGCAAGCCUGAUGCAGCCAUGCCGCGUGUAUGAAGAAGGCCUUCGGGUUGUAAAGUACUUUCAGCGGGGAGGCGUUACCCACAGAAGAAGCACCGGCUAACUCCGUGCCAGCAGCCGCGGUAAUUC
rnacentral:rRNA from 1 species